rnacentral:lncRNA from 1 species
AAUGACACUUCCUUUGGUAUUUCAAGUGUCAGAGGCUCACCUUCACGACCCAUUCCAACGCUCUCAAAUGGAAAAGGGAGUGUCUUGUAACCUGCCCUUACAUACUUUGAGUUUGGGUGUGUAAAUGGUAUACAGUUUUCGCGGAAACGAUCAAAUACAGGAUCAAACUCAGGGUUUACCAACAUUCUGUUGUAAGCCCAAACAGCAAUUAUGCCUCCUGGUUUACGCAGAAGGCGUUUGGCAAGUGAGUAGAACUGUGGGAGAUCAAACCAAUGAACAGCCUCUGCCACAGUAAUCAAAUCUAAUGAAUUCUCAUGACCUCCCCCUAUCAAGUUGACCAUUUCAUCCUCUGAGAGUGAUGUGGGAGUAUGAAUGUAUCGAAUUCGAGGGUGCUGGAUGGCAUAUUUCAGCUGUUCCUCACUUAUAUCAGUUGCUACUACUUGUUGGUAAUGCUCUGAAAGCUGUUAAAAUGUGGGAGAUCACCAGAGUUAGCACCUAUAACACUAGUGACAUUAAGUGUAGCCGAAGGCUGACAACAGUACCAACUGAGAAGUAUAAAGUGCGAAAUCAAGAAUGUUAUUUUUCUUCUUUUGUCAAACACUUUUGGAGUAUGAAACCAAUUAGGAAAGGAUUCAACAACUGCUAAGCACAUUUUGCUUGUUGUCGAAUAGUAGGGAAUCCCAGUCUUUGAUAAUGUUAUCAUCAGAAUUGUUUUCAAAUGAGCCCAUUCAACGAUGAUCGGUAUGAAACUGAUCCCCUAGUUGUUCAAAUUCUACAACAUUUCACAAACUAUUCUACCUUAUACAUUAAUCUUUAAAUCAGAAGUGUACUAUUAUCAAAGUUGUGUGUGUAUAUACUAUAUAGUGAUACAAAUUGAAUGACGGGAUUGUUAGACUGAAUUUGAAAAAGAAAAAGAGUAAUAGUAAACUUACACCAAGAGCAGCUUGGCCAUUGCCGGUGCCAGCAUCCCAAGCUAAAGAGUGUUGUGGGGUGAGAGCAGCCAGCUUUGAGUACCAUUCCUUUGGAUAUGUUGGCCGAGCUUCCACAUAUAUCUCUGCCUGCUUGUCAAAUAGACCCGCCAUUUUCCUAUUUCUGGCCACAAAAUUAGUCUCAGAUAAUUGGAAAUCUUAACAGAAACCCAGAAACAUAAAUAUCAUUGUGUGCAGCAGAUGAAACAAAAG